rnacentral:tRNA from 1 species
UCCCUGGUGGUCCAGUGAUUAGGACUCUACACUGCCACUGCAGGGGCCACAGAUUUAAUCCCUGGUCUGGGAA